rnacentral:rRNA from 1 species
UGGCGGACGGGUGAGUAAUGUCUGGGAAACUGCCCGAUGGAGGGGGAUAACUACUGGAAACGGUAGCUAAUACCGCAUAACGUCGCAAGACCAAAGAGGGGGACCUUCGGGCCUCUUGCCAUCGGAUGUGCCCAGAUGGGAUUAGCUAGUAGGUGGGGUAACGGCUCACCUAGGCGACGAUCCCUAGCUGGUCUGAGAGGACGACCAGCCACACUGGAACUGAGACACGGUCCAG